ensembl:misc_RNA Y_RNA Y RNA
GGCUGGUCCGAUGGUCGUGAGCUAUUUCCAUUCAUCACAGUCAGUUGCAGAUGGAACUCCUUUUCUACUCUGUCCCCACUUCUCACUACUGCACUUGACUAGUCUUAA